rnacentral:misc_RNA from 1 species
AAAUGCGAUAAGUAAUGUGAAUUGCAGAAUUCAGUGAAUCAUCGAAUCUUUGAACGCACAUUGCGCCCCCUGGUAUUCCGGGGGGCAUGCCUGUUCGAGCGUCAUUUCACCACUCAAGCCUCGCUUGGUAUUGGGCGACGCGGUCCGCCGCGCGCCUCAAAUCGACCGGCUGGGUCUUUCGUCCCCUCAGCGUUGUGGAAACUAUUCGCUAAAGGGUGCCGCGGGAGGCCACGCCGUAAAACAACCCCAUUUCUAAGGUUGACCUCGGAUCUGGUAGGGAUACCCGCUGAACUUAAGC